CGCUGGCGGCGUGCCUAAUACAUGCAAGUCGAGCGAACGGACGAGAAGCUUGCUUCUCUGAUGUUAGCGGCGGACGGGUGAGUAACACGUGGAUAACCUACCUAUAAGACUGGGAUAACUUCGGGAAACCGGAGCUAAUACCGGAUGAUAUUUUGAACCGCAUGGUUCAAAAGUGAAAGACGGUCUUGCUGUCACUUAUAGAUGGAUCCGCGCUGCAUUAGCUAGUUGGUAAGGUAACGGCUUACCAAGGCAACGAUGCAUAGCCGACCUGAGAGGGUGAUCGGCCACACUGG
rnacentral:rRNA from 1 species